CUAUGAACAAGAGGGUCUUUCC
rnacentral:piRNA from 1 species